GAAAAUAUAGUUUAAAAAAUAUUGUUUUUGUAAAACAAAGUUAAUUUAUAAAAAUUUAUUUUCA
rnacentral:tRNA from 1 species